GAUGAACGCUGGCGGCGUGCCUAAUACAUGCAAGUCGAGCGAACAGACGAGGAGCUUGCUCCUCUGACGUUAGCGGCGGACGGGUGAGUAACACGUGGAUAACCUACCUAUAAGACUGGGAUAACUUCGGGAAACCGGAGCUAAUACCGGCUAAUAUAUUGAACCGCAUGGUUCACUAGUGAAAGACGGUUUUGCUGUCACUUAUAGAUGGAUCCGCGCCGCAUUAGCUAGUUGGUGGGGUAACGGCUUACCAAGGCAACGAUAAGUAGCCGACCGGAGAGGACGACCAGCCACACGGGGACGGAGACACGGCACAGACUACGAAGGGAGGCAGAAGUGGGGAGGUUUGGACAAUGGGCGAAAGCCUGAUACAGCAAUGCCGCGUGGGUGAAGAAGGCCUUCGGGUUGUAAAGCACGUUUGUCCGGAAAGAAAUCCUGGGAUCUAAUACAGUCGGGGGAUGACGGUACCGGAAGAAGAAGAACCGGCUAACUACGUG
rnacentral:rRNA from 1 species